UUUUUUUUUUUUUUUCUUCUUUUUAGGGUCACAUUUGCAGCAUAUGGAAGUUCCCAGGCUAGGGGUCAAUUGGAGCUACAGCUGUGGACCUACGCCACAGCCACAGCCAAAGCCACGCUGGUCCUUAACCCACUGAGUGAGGCCAGGGAUCAAACCCGCAUCCUCAUGGAUACUGGUCAGGUUCAUAACCCACUGAGCCACAACGGGAACUCCCCUUGCAGCUUCUUUUAACCCUCUUCUCAGUUAUCUUUCUGGGACUCUCCCUAAGCAUAAAAAAUCAGCAGCACAGGAUAGGGGCCUCCUGCCAUUCCAGACAACUGAGCCAAAUGCUUUUACUCAAUUAAUCUACCUUUACAAAUAUCCUCUGAAAAAGACUCAUCCUGAGCUCCCCCUCAAAUGUAAGUUUUCAAUGAGCUCACCCUACCUACCCCCUUUCUUGGCUUCUGUGCCAAACCAGAACCAUAAAGUCAAUCAGGAAAUAAACCUCUUCAAAAAGACAGACCUGGGAGUUCCCACUGGGGUUCAGAAACAAAUCCAACUAAUGUCAUGUAAGAUGCAGGUUCAAUCCCUGGCCUGGCUCAUCUGGUGUUGCCAUGGCUGCAGCACAGGCCACAGAGGCGGCUGGGAAUUGACGCCGAGGCCAGGAAAUUCCAUGUGCUGCAGGUGAAGCUAUAAAAAGGAAAAAAACAAAAAGACAGGCAGACCUGCCCCAUCUGCUCUGACUUCAGGUAGAACCAAAGCUAAACACACCUUAACAGAAAAGAAAUCUAAAAGCCAGUGUUUUUUCUUUUCAAGUUGGGACUAAGAUUCCAAAAUGUCAGCAAAACCCCAGGACAACAUUAACCAGGUCUGAACCCAAGUUUAUUUUUCUCAUACCUCGUGCUCACCCUGAACAACGCCAACAGGGCAUGCCCUCUCCCUCCUGCCCUCAGCAUCAUCAGCUGGCCUCCAAGGCAAUGUCCAGAUACCCAAAAGAAGACAGAAAUCGCGAUUUGAACAAUUCAAGUCAAAACCUACUUACUGUCCAGUAAUUAACCAAGGCAAAAGCAUGUGCAGAGAUGGCUUGAGGGGCCACCAGCUUCCCUGAACGCACCCAACGAGCACCACCCUCUUGGGCUCUGCAUGCCAUUUAUCUUUGGACCCACGCCAGCGGGGCUGCUCAACAGAGCCCAAGGCAUGAGAAAAACCAAUAUGAGAAAGCCUGUCCCAAAUGAAGAUCCCUCAGUCCUCUAUGACCAUAAGGCAGGCACUGAAAGGGGAGCCGAAGGGGGAGCAGAGAGAAGUCGGCCUCAUGUGGAACCUUCUUUCAGGUGCACGACGCCAAGCGGGACCUUGAGAACUGGCUAAGUAUGCACCAAGAAACGCCAGAUCAGAAGAGAAUGCAAAAUGCACUCGCAGUCAAAUGCUGGAUCAAAUGAAGUUAUUAAUAAAUUUCUUUUCAGCAGGNNNNNNNNNNUUUUGUCUUUUUGGGGCUGCACCUGCAGCAUAUGGAGGUUCCCAGGUUAGGGGCUGAAUCGGAGCUGUAGCCACCGGCCUAUGACACAGCCACAGCCAUGCCAUAUCCAAGCCGUGUCUGCGACCUAUACCACAGCUCAUGGCAAUGCCAGAUCCUUAACUCACUGAGCAAGGCCAGGGAUCGAACCCGAAACCUCAUGGUUCCUAGUCGGAUUUGUUUCCACUGUGCCACAGCG
rnacentral:lncRNA from 1 species